rnacentral:rRNA from 1 species
UACGUAGGGGGCAAGCGUUGUCCGGAUUUAUUGGGCGUAAAGAGCGUGUAGGCGGCCAGGUAGGUCUGCUGUGAAAACUCGAGGCUUAACCUCGAGCUGUCGGCGGAAACCAUCUGGCUAGAGUCCCGGAGAGGUUGGUGGAACUCUCGGUGUAGAGGUGAAAUUCGUAGAUAUCGAGAAGAACACCGGUGGCGAAGGCGGCCAACUGGACGGUGACUGACACUGAGACGCGAAAGCGUGGGGAGCAAACAGG